rnacentral:tRNA from 1 species
GGGGAUGUGGCUCAGUGGUAGAACUUUUGCCUUGCAUGCAUAAAGCCCUGGGUUUGGUCCCCAGCACCACAA